GUACCAGUGACAGUUGGUCUCCUUUCAGCCAAAUAGCUCCCAUAUGCUACAUAAUGCUGCUGCUGAUUAAAAUCCUAUGGAAGAGUCAGCCUGUGUCUGGAACAAUAGCAGCCUGAAUUCAAUUUAUCAGUCUUCUGGGGAAGCAGAGAUAAUCAAAUUCCCCCCUUCAGCAACUUUGGGAACCCACCAUUUGACAAGAUACAAUGGAUACUGUCUCCAUGUGGUGUCAAUGGCUCCUGGAAGCUGCAGAAUUAGAUCUUUCUCAAAUAAUAUAAUCUCACAGAAAGAGAGAAAACCAUCUCUUCAUUGGCCCUGUCUACUCUUGAAAAGGACUCAAGCUGGCCUCGAUGAGGUUGCAGAGGCACUGGAUAUCAUCUCAGGUUCACUCCCCAUGCUGUCUGUUCUCUCCUUCCCUUCUGUCAUCCACCCUGAAGGUCCUGUUUCUCACCAGCUUGGAUAUAAGGAAGCAAUGACCUGUACAGGUGUGGUGAACUGAAGUUAUUUGUAGAAUAGCAUAGGGCUAUUCAUUGGAAUAUUCAUUGGAAGGACUGAUGCUGAAGCUGAAACUCCAAUACUUUGGCCACCUGAUACGAAUAACUGACUCACUGGAAAAGACCCUGAUCCUGGGAAGGAUUGAAGGCGGGAGCAGAAGGUGACAACAGAGGAUGAUAUGGUUGGAUAGCAUCACCAAUGCAAUGGACUUGAGUUUGAGUAGGCUCCAGGAGUUGUGAUGGACCGCAAAGCCUGACGUGCUGCAGUCCAAGGGGAUGCGAAGAGUCGGACACGACUGAGCAACUGAACUGAACAGGGUUACUCAGCAUUCCAGGACAUCAAGGGCAUUCUCUGCACAUGUGUGAAGUUAGUGGCUGUGAAUGAAAAUAAAAUAGUGGCA
rnacentral:lncRNA from 1 species